AGCAUUCAAUAAGCGGAGGAAAAGAAACCAACAGGGAUUGCCCUAGUAACGGCGAGUGAAGCGGCAACAGCUCAAAUUUGAAAUCUGGCGUCUUUGGCGUCCGAGUUGUAAUUUGCAGAGGGCGCUUUGGCAUUGGCAGCGGUCCAAGUUCCUUGGAACAGGACGUCACAGAGGGUGAGAAUCCCGUACGUGGUCGCUAGCCUCUACCGUGUAAAGCCCCUUCGACGAGUCGAGUUGUUUGGGAAUGCAGCUCUAAAUGGGAGGUAAAUUUCUUCUAAAGCUAAAUACUGGCCAGAGACCGAUAGCGCACAAGUAGAGUGAUCGAAAGAUGAAAAGCACUUUGGAAAGAGAGUUAAAAAGCACGUGAAAUUGUUGAAAGGGAAGCGCUUGCAGCCAGACUUGCCUGUAGUUGCUCAUCCGGGUUUCUACCCGGUGCACUCUUCUAUAGGCAGGCCAGCAUCAGUUUGGGCGGUUGGAUAAAGGUCUCUGUCACGUACCUCCUCUCGGGGAGGCCUUAUAGGGGAGACGACAUGCAACCAGCCUGGACUGAGGUCCGCGCAUCUGCUAGGAUGCUGGCGUAAUGGCUGUAAGCGGCCCGUCUUGAAACACGGACCAAGGAGUCUAACAUCUAUGCGAGUGUUUGGGUGUCAAGCCCGAACGCGUAAUGAAAGUGAACGGAGGUGGGAACCUUUCGGGGUGCACCAUCGACCGAUCCUGAUGUCUUCGGAUGGAUUUGAGUAAGAGCAUAGCUGUUGGGACCCGAAAGAUGGUGAACUAUGCUUGAAUAGGGUGAAGCCAGAGGAAACUCUGGUGGAGGCUCGCAGCGGUUCUGACGUGCAAAUCGAUCGUCAAAUUUGGGCAUAGGGGCGAAAGACUAAUCGAACUAUCUAGUAGCUGGUUCCUGC
rnacentral:rRNA from 1 species